ACGUAGGGUCCGAGCGUUGUCCGGAUUUAUUGGGCGUAAAGAGCUCGUAGGCGGUUCCGUAAGUCAGAUGUGAAAACUCAGGGCUCAACCCGGAGACGCCAUCUGAUACUGCGGUGACUGGAGUCUGGUAGGGGAACACGGAAUUCCUGGUGUAGCGGUGAAAUGCGCAGAUAUCAGGAGGAACACCGAUGGCGAAGGCAGUGUUCUGGGCCAGUACUGACGCUGAGGAGCGAAAGCGUGGGGAGCAAACAGGA
rnacentral:rRNA from 1 species